ACUAGAAACAAAUUCCCUAAAUUUUCCCCCAAUAGGUUAAAGAGCUAGGCAAGGUCUACAACAAAAGAAAUUAAAUUGAAAUUUGGUUCGAAAUCUACACAGGUAAUAUUUUUACUUUUCAAGUAAUAUCUAAUUCUCAUUAGAGCUUCUGCCAUAUCUACAGAAAGUCGAUUUCUUAAUUUACAUUUUAUUAUAUUAUAGGUGGAAAAUGCUCUUUCUACGGUUGCAUUGGAAAUUGGUAAUGAAAGUAAUCCUAAUGCUAAUCUACUAAUAUUUUCCAGCACUAUCUUUAUCAUUAUAUACUUCUGACCAAAAUUGUAAGUAAUUCUCUGUUUCAUUCCAUACUUUAUUAGAAAUUAAAUCCCAUUCUGAUUGGCAGUGUUCUACAGAAAACCUAAGAAAAAUAAAAUAAAAUAAAAUUAAAUUAAAUUAAAUUAAGAGACGUACACAUUAACUCUGGAUCUUUCUCCCAAGCUUUAUUAUAAAAUUGUGUGUAUUUCUUUUUGUUCAUCUUGCAAAAUAUUUUAGACAAUUUUAGCACGAUGCACGAAUAUUUCUAUCUGUUGUAGACAUAUUGUAAAAACGUUUGUAACUUGUCUUAUUACUAUUCUUAUAUAAGAUGUUAGGCUUUUAUUUAUAAAAGUAUUGGUUCCCGCAUACAGGGCGCAGCAAAGCUUGCCGCGUGGCGGACUUCAAAAAGUCCCCUCCUAAACUUAUUAUUCCCCUAAA